GUUGAAAAGACACAUUGGGAGGUAUGCUAAUCCAUGCUGUACUGGAUCUCUUUGUGCAGCAGAGACUGGCUCUAGGUCAGCUGUGGUUGGAUUAUAAAUCUCAUAACGCUCAGACCAAGAUGGGAGUAUCAGUUUUAAAAAACAUUUAAUGGUUUCAUGUUUAGACCUUUCUUUGUACACCGUGUGAUUUUGUUUCCCUGCUAACAUGAUGUGUGAAACGACUUCCUAUAAACCGGGCUGAAUCGUAAAUCUGGGAAUACCAGUCCCAUAGCAGAAUUUUCUCACGCUCUCUGAAAAUGUGGCCUUCUAAACUGUAACCAAGAGGGAUUAUAUUACCCCUCAUCGGGGAACACAGUAAUGUUUUACCAAAUAAUAUGAUGUGGUUUUAUUUAAUGAGCUUACUGAUGAUUGUAAAAUUGCUAAUGUACAAAGAUCGCCCUUGAAAAGGAUGCAGUUGUUACUGUUCCUGUAUGUCAUACAUGUUUUGUUACAAUUCCAUGUGUCUCAUUUACCUAUUGUACAGCACUGUGGAAUAAGUUGAUGCUUUAUAAAUAACUGUAAUUUUAAAAAUUACAAUUAAGAAUUCUUCUUAGGCCACAUUAAAUAUUUAGGCAUACGAUUGACUGCAGACCCAUCUCAAUUAUACCAACAAAAUUAUACUCCAUUGAUUAGGACAUUGAUGACUGACAUGGAGGGCUGGACGGAAAGAGCGAUUUCCUGGAUAGGGAGGAUACAUUCAGUGAAAAUGAAUGUGCUACCCCGGAUUUUGUUCUUGUUUCAGGCACUCCCGAUUAGACUGACUAGAUCUGAUCUGGGGCCGCUUCAACAAACUAUUGGCAAAUUUAUAUGGCAGAACAAGAAGCAUAGGGUCUCACGCAACAUCCUCUACCAAGCUAGGGACAGAGGGGGCUUAGGCCUUCCACACUUAUAUUUUUAUUAUGAGGUGGCCCAAUUGGCACAGUGGCAUUCUGCCCCAGAGGAGAGAAGAUGGGUGGACUUGGUAUCCUCCCUUCUGGGGAUGGAUAUGCCUCAGUUUUUUAUGUGGACUCCUAGGGAACACAGACCAAACAUUAGCGUAGCCUGCCCAGUAAUCUUAAAUUCAUUGAAGCUAUGGGACGCAGC